UACAGAGGGGGCGAGCGUUGUUCGGAAUUACUGGGCGUAAAGGGCGCGUAGGCGGCCAACUAAGUCGGACGUGAAAUCCCAAGGCUCAACCUUGGAACUGCGUCCGAUACUGGAUGGCUUGAAUCCGGGAGAGGGAUGUGGAAUUCCAGGUGUAGCGGUGAAAUGCGUAGAUAUCUGGAGGAACACCGGUGGCGAAGGCGGCAUCCUGGACCGGUAUUGACGCUGAGGCGCGAAAGCCAGGGGAGCAAACGGG
rnacentral:rRNA from 1 species